rnacentral:rRNA from 1 species
UACGGAGGAUCCGAGCGUUAUCCGGAUUUAUUGGGUUUAAAGGGAGCGUAGGUGGACUGGUAAGUCAGUUGUGAAAGUUUGCGGCUCAACCGUAAAAUUGCAGUUGAUACUGUCAGUCUUGAGUACAGUAGAGGUGGGCGGAAUUCGUGGUGUAGCGGUGAAAUGCUUAGAUAUCACGAAGAACUCCGAUUGCGAAGGCAGCUCACUGGACUGCAACUGACACUGAUGCUCGAAAGGGUGGGUAUCAAACAGGAUGAGAGACCCGGGGAGUCGGCUGACUGACU